GGGCUUGUGGUUUAGUGGUAUAAUAUUCCCUUAGCAUUGAACGCGGUGUAUGGGAAUGGUCCAGGGUUCGAUUCCCUGCAAGUCCA